rnacentral:misc_RNA from 1 species
GAUGAAGAACGUAGCGAAAUGCGAUAAGUAAUGUGAAUUGCAGAAUUCAGUGAAUCAUCGAAUCUUUGAACGCACCUUGCACCCUUUGGCAUUCCGAAGGGUAUGCUCGUUUGAGUGUCAUUGUACUCUCACACUUCCAAUCUUUGGAUUGGGAGCAGUGGACUUGGGUGUUGCUGCUUACUGUGGCUCACCUCAAAUCGAUUCGUGCACCUCUUGGUUGGACAUAGUACGGCGUGAUAAGUGUCUUCGCCGGCACCUCAGUAGAGGGUGGCUGAUCAGGAGCUCUGUGCUUCAAACCGUCCUCGGACAAAAACUGACAACUUGACCUCAAAUCGAGUAGGACUACCCGCUGAACUUAAGCAUAUCAAUAAGCGGAGGA